ACCAGACUCCUACGGGAGGCAGCAGUGGGGAAUAUUGCACAAUGGGGGAAACCCUGAUGCAGCGACGCCGCGUGAGCGAUGAAGUAUUUCGGUAUGUAAAGCUCUAUCAGCAGGGAAGAAAAUGACGGUACCUGACUAAGAAGCCCCGGCUAACUACGUGCCAGCAGCCGCGGUAAUACGUAGGGGGCAAGCGUUAUCCGGAUUUACUGGGUGUAAAGGGAGCGUAGACGGCGGUGCAAGCCAGAUGUGAAAGCCCGGGGCUCAACCCCGGGACUGCAUUUGGAACUGUGCUGCUAGAGUGUCGGAGAGGCAGGCGGAAUUCCUAGUGUAGCGGUGAAAUGCGUAGAUAUUAGGAGGAACACCAGUGGCGAAGGCGGUCUGCUGGACAGCAACUGACGCUGAGGCGCGAAAGCGUGGGGAGCAAACAGGAUUAGAUACCCGUGUAAUC
rnacentral:rRNA from 1 species